UGAAAGGAAAUUCAAACAAACCAAAUGGC
rnacentral:piRNA from 1 species